rnacentral:rRNA from 1 species
UACGUAGGGGGCGAGCGUUGUCCGGAUUUAUUGGGCGUAAAGAGCUCGUAGGCGGCUUGGCAAGUCGGGUGUGAAACCUCCAGGCUCAACCUGGAGACGCCACUCGAUACUGCCAUGGCUAGAGUCCGGUAGGGGACCACGGAAUUCCUGGUGUAGCGGUGAAAUGCGCAGAUAUCAGGAGGAACACCGGUGGCGAAGGCGGCGGUCUGGGCCGGCACUGACGCUGAGGAGCGAAAGCGUGGGUAGCAAACAGG